rnacentral:lncRNA from 11 species
UCAGGAAAGAAAACUGUUAAGAAAAGUUUAAAGCAUGUGCUCAUACUGAUAAUAUAAUGUGAAUAGUUCAUAUAUUGCCUGUUAUGUUUGAUUGAUCAACUUUUCCUGCCCUAAGUCCAGGAUGUAGUAGCAUGUUUGACAAGUCUCCCAAGUUCACUGCUGAUGCAGACUUCGGAAGCAAUCACAGAGAAGACCCAUUGGUUGGCAUUGUGAAUGACCCUAUGAAGAAUACCCAUGGAGAAAGUUCCCAUCCUAUCACAGCACUAUUUGAAGAGAAGAAUCAGCAGUUUUUGACUCUCCCUUCUUCACAGUCCUGCCAUUCUUUUGCUAAAAAGAACCCCAUUGAUCAGCUGUUUACAGAUUCAAUUGAUGCACAUCAAAUAUCCAAUUUGCAUAGUCUUUAUACAAGCGAGCAGACAGCAUGUUCUGUUCAAAGACAGUCUGCGGAAAGGGAUCUCAAAGGGAUUUUCACAGCUCCAGAGCAGAUUUUAUUUUCUAACAGUCAAAGUUUAAAUGCAGUCGACCAAGAGACUGCUAAGACUCAACUGAAAGAUUGCUAUCCCGAAGAAAGAAAUAGUGGAAUAUUUACAGAUCAACAAGAGAAUACCAGAGAUAUUGAAAAUACAGGAAGAUUUGAAAACCAAAUGAAAAAUAUGAAUGUAGCCGAAACAAUAGAAAACUAUUUUCAAAAAUGGUGAGUCUUAAAGGUACUGGUGCUUUAUUUCUAA